AUGAAGAAAGGCGUUCAAAUUUUGAAUGUUGCUCAUGGAGGAUUGAUUGACAAAGAUGCUCUAGUCAGGGCACUUGAUUCAGGAAUUGUGUCUCGGGCAGCUGUAGAUGUUUUGAUAGAGGAGCCGCCACCAAAAGACAACAAGCUGGUCCAACAUGAGUAAGUUAUCGUUACCCCAAAUCUUGGAGACUCUACUUUUGAAGGUCA